AAACAAAUUACAUUAUUGCCCUUCAUGAAGCUAUUUGUAGCCUCUCCUCUACGCUACGCUCUCUCUCUCUCUCCCACUCUUGCUCGCUUAGCAAAAAGAACAAAAAAACAAAAAAUGUCGAAAGCCUUAGCAAAAGUCGGAACAGCCGCAAACGCGGUUUUCCGUACGAUAUCAAAAGCUUACAAGAACCCAAACACACAGGAUACGCUUGUGAACGCUUCUGUGGAACUCGGAACAUCCGCUGCGAAGACAGCCUUGGAGGGCGGGAGCAAGAAGACUCCGCCGUCACCGCCGUCGCCGCCAUCGUACAUGUACCUGAACACCAGUGCCAUGGUAGAGCAGCCUCAAGGCCGUUAUCCUUCUCAACCUCGACCCCUCUUUCCCCAGUGCCAUGGUAGAGCAGCCUCAAGGCCGUUAUCCUUCUCAACCUCGACCCCUCGUUCCCUGCUUCUUCCCGAUGGUCUCUUCUCAGACACGUCGGACGUCGUUCGUACCCACCAACACGGAUCUGGAGCCCCAGUUUCCCGAGGAAGACUUCAGAGGAGAAGGUGGUAGUUCUUUUUCCUGG
rnacentral:lncRNA from 1 species